UACGUAGGGUGCGAGCGUUGUCCGGAUUUAUUGGGCGUAAAGAGCUCGUAGGCGGUUUGUCGCGUCGGCCGUGAAAUCUCCACGCUUAACGUGGAGGGGUCAGUCGAUACUGUCGUGACUCGAGUCCGGUAGGGGAGAAUGGAAUUCCCGGUGUAGCGGUGAAAUGCGCAGAGAUCGGGAGGAACACCCGUAGCGAAGGCGGUUCUCUGGGCCGGUAC
rnacentral:rRNA from 1 species